AUCUAGCACACUGCAGGCUCUCUAUUAAUGUCACAUCAUCAGGUUUCCUUAAGACACUCACCGGCUCCCUCAGAGACACCCAAAGGGAAGAGCCACAGGAAUCGGAAUAUUUCACAACAUGAAUGUCCCACCAAAAUUCCAAAGUGGUGUCAUGGAUGGUGGAAGAUCUCUGCCUGUUUAUUGGGAAGGGGCACUUGAUUUUACUUGGUUGUAAGUUUAUGUGCUGAAAAAUGUUUUCUGUGGGCUCAGCUUUAAUGUAUUAUUAAGACAUGUUACGUGGUCUACAAAACUGACUUGGAACGAGGCAACAUCACUUGAGAUUCUGUUUUGGGAACAAAAAUGAGAAGAUCCAAAGGAAAAAGCAAGACUCUGGCAAAUCUACAAAGAGAGGUGACCUGUUUUGUGCUUUUGCCAUAAUAGAAAGUCUACAUAUAGUUUUUUUGGGGGGGAAGUUAUUUUGCAUUUUAUUAUUUACUUGUUAAAAAUAAUCCCCCCACUCUUUCUCAUUCUUCAAAAAGGAGGACCACUGCGUGCCAGAGAGAGAUUUCCCAUCUGAAAUGGACAUGGCAAUGGGCUAUCAUAGAGAUCAGCAAGCUGCAGUCCAUGGGCCAAAUCUGACAUGUGGCCUGUUCUGUGAAUAAAGUUUUAUUGGAACACA